UACGUAGGGACCAAGCGUUGUUCGGAUUUACUGGGCGUAAAGGGCGCGUAGGCGGCAUGACAAGUCACUUGUGAAAUCUCCGGGCUUAACUCGGAACGGCCAAGUGAUACUGUCAAGCUAGAGUGCAGAAAGGGCAAUCGGAAUUCUUGGUGUAGCGGUGAAAUGCGUAGAUAUCAAGAGGAACACCGGUGGCGAAGGCGGCAUCCCUGGACCGGCAUUGACGCGUGAGGCGCGAAAGCCCAGGGGAGCAAACGGG
rnacentral:rRNA from 1 species